AGACGUCUACAUUAGAUACCCCCGUAGUCCCAGCCGUAAACUAUGCGCGUUAGGUGUAUCGGUGACCACGAGUCACCGAGGUGCCGAAGGGAAACCGUGAAACGUGCCGCCUGGGAAGUACGGUCGCAAGGCUGAAACUUAAAGGAAUUGGCGGGGAGCACCACAACAGGUGGAGCCUGCGGUUUAAUUGGACUCAACGCCGGGAAGCUCACCGGAUAGGACAGCAGAAUGAUUGCCGGGCUGAAGACCCUGCAUGACUAGCUG
rnacentral:rRNA from 1 species